UAGAUAAGCGCAUCCUGGCUUAGCAGCUAU
rnacentral:sRNA from 1 species